UAACUUAGAGGUAAAGUUUUAACCUUGUAAUUUAAAGGUGUUGGGUUCAAAACCAAU
rnacentral:tRNA from 1 species